AAAUGUCCAAUAGAAAAUAUAAUUCAAAAGAGAAUACUAACAAUAACAUGCUGAUCUAAAAUAAAUAUCAUCGGUUAUAACAGACAACGCAUGUCUCAUCUUUGCCACUGAUCUUUGAAAAAAAAAAAAACAAGAAAAGUAAUGUUUUAUUCAUCAAGGGGUUAUGUGUAAAUUAUAAGAAUCCAUUCAGUAUACAUUCAUCUACAUUGACAUUUGACUUUUGACUUUAAAUGGAAACACACUUUCAACAAUCG
rnacentral:lncRNA from 1 species